rnacentral:lncRNA from 1 species
CAAUGCCGACUCCGCCGCCCACAGCAGCACUUCCUCUUGGUCUAGCCAUUUUUGGUCGAUUUUGGCCGAUUUUGCAUAGAAACCUGCAAAAAAUAGCGUUAGGAAGCCUCUGUCGGCUAAAAAAGAGAAAAAUCAAGACUUUAUCAACGGAAGAAUUUUUCAGUGCGGCGGCUCCGCUGUUCCUCUCUUGCGGUUAGGGCUUUUCUUCGGCUAACUUACAUCAAAAAGAGAUGAAGAACACAAAGGUCAAAGAACCGAAGAAAACGGGAAAUGGAAAAGAGCUCAUCAGAGGGGUUUUUGGCUCUCGACC